GGGAGGUUAGCCUAGUGGUAAGGUGUUCUCCCGGGAUGAGAAAGACGUGAGGUUCGAUUCCUCACACCACUCU
rnacentral:tRNA from 1 species